AAACCAUAAAUUGCCAACACCCAAGAUGACAUUAGCAUUAUUGUCCCAACACUCCCUUCAAAAGUAUGUGGGAACAGACAUGGCGUAGUGCUGAGAUCAUAAAAGAUAACACACUUCUUCACCAAAUAAAAUUCAGCCCCCACUUCCAUAUUCCUUGCUCUCAAUCAUUAAUUGAUUCCUCCCUCUUUCUUUCUUCAUUUAAGAACAAGCACUUCUAUUUCCAUAUCCCUCUAUAGCUAGCACAAUUGAACCAAAGAACAAUUCUAACCAUAAAUAGGCAUUAUUACUAUGGGGGAAGUUGAUGAUCAAGUAUCAAUCAAUAAACAAGACAUGGAUGAUGGUGGCUCACAAAACAUUGCCAACAAUGAAUUUGUAAGCACUGAAGGGGAUAACAACUUAGGACAAUGGUUGAGUUUGGGCCUCAGAGGAACCAUUAAUCCUCUUGAAGGUUCUGAUCAAUCAAAACCCCUCCCAAACAAGGUGUUCUCAUGCAACUUUUGCAUGAGAAAAUUCUACAGUUCACAAGCCUUGGGGGGUCACCAGAAUGCACACAAGAGGGAACGAGAAGCGGCAAGAUGCUACCAAUCUCAUAGAAUCAUGGUAGCAUCAACAGGGCGUGCUGCUUACUCUUCACUUGGAAUCCAGCCACACUCGCUUGUGCACAAGACAGGCAGAGAAAGGUCUUCUUCUCUGGUGGCUCGGUUCAAUGAUGCAAGUUCUGGGGUUGUUGGAAUGGCAUUAACACCUUUUGUGCUUGAACAAGCUGCAAUGGAUUUGAUUUGGCCAGGGAGCUUUCGGAUGGACUUGCCAAAGCAAGAAUCAGACACAAAUAAGCUUGAUUUAGAUCUUCGGCUCUGAUACAGCUUCAGAAUUUGACAAAUUGGAGGGGAGGCCCUUUUCAAUAUCAGAUUCUUUUUUGAGGUUCCAUAUAACAAGGCUGAUGAGUUGCUCGGUAUGCCUCCUGUUGCAUUGGAUAUUUUUGUUGGAAAAACUUUCAUAUUUAAGAUAAAAACUGAUGAUAGUAAGAAUGGAAAAUAUGCAAAGAGUUAUUCUGUGUACACAAUGACUGAUGCUCCUGAUAUGAUCAAACUUUUCACCUCAAGUAAUGACACAGUAAAGGAUUCGUUGCAAAUUAGUAGUAUUGAUGCAAAAUUGCAAAUAGUGAGUUAUUUAUUCAAAAGCAUCAAUCUCAUGACACUGGUAACAUAUCUAUUACAAGUGAAAAUGAACUUGAAUCAUAUUCUCAGCACAAUGUUACUCCUAUGAAAAGAAUGUCACAUCAAAAUCUUGAUAGUUCUGACAUAGAGGAAAACUCUUCCUCAACUAAGGAGUUAAAACGUGUUAAGAUAGAGAAGUGAAAUAAGAACUUGAUUGCAAUGAGACUUCUCUACAUUAGUUUAUGUUGCAAGUUUUGCUAUUUAUGGUGUUUAAAAGAGUUAAUUACAUUAUUUGGUUUGGUAUUAAAUAAACUCGAAUGACCAAUUUUAAUAUUAUUCAUGGAUCUAUUUUGAUUUUACUUCAGACUAUUUCUUUUUUAUUUUAAUACAUGACUAUAACACAUGAUAUUAUGACAUGUUUUAAUUAUUUAUUAAUUUAACACAAUUACUUAAAAAAACUACAAUAAUAAAAAUAGUUUUAAAAUUACCCGUGCAUUGCACGGGCUACAUACUAGUUUCUACAAUCCAAGAAACAUUGAAAGUAAUUAACACUAUUUCAAGAAUCAAAAUAGUAGAUUUUGAAAUUUAAUAAAGAAAAUACUUCCCCCGUUCCUAAUUAUAAAACUUAGUUCUAAAUUUUUUUAAGUUCCUAAAUAUAAGACCUUUUACAAUAAUCUAGCAAAGAAUAUUUUACUCUUCCAUAUAUACCAUUUACAGUAAUUGUGUGUUUUUAUUUUCAAAACUUUAAUUACCCCUUACAUUAAUGCAAUAAUUACUAGUGAGAGAAAAUGACAAAGAGUAAAUAUGGAAGAGAGAAUAAUUUUUUUUAAAACAAAUACACCAAUUAGGCACAUUUAGUGUUUUAAUAAGCGCAAUUUUUUGCAUUAUAAGGAACAAAUGGAGUAAUUAAUUAACCUCGAGGAGUUGGUAUAUUAGUGGAGUAUGACAUGGUAUUUGUGACACCCGGGGCCGACGAGGGCGGGGAGUGAUCGCUGAUGUAGUGAGGCACAGACAAGGACCGGCUCCUAGCAGCCUUCUAGGCGGAGGGACACAGGAAUGAGUCGAUCUCGCACCCAAACAAGAGAUAUUCUGAGUCUAUACAGUUGAGGAGGGCAUAAAAGAUCUGAUUGGUACUACUCAUAACAACAAGAUGCAUCUUCUUUUAGGGAGCCCAACUCAUAAAAACUCCAAGGUUAAGUGUGUUUGCCUUGGAGCAAUAUUAUGAUGGGUGACAUCCUAGGAAGUUUUCCCGGGAAGUGCGCGAGUGAAGACAAAGCGCACUGAAAAGACUCAUGUUGUUACCAUGAGGUCAGUCGUCUGAUCGGGAUAUUACAAAUGGUAUCAGAGCCAACCUCUCCUAGUAUGGUGUGGUUCGAGGACGAACCAAGCGGAAGCUAGUGGGUCUGUGACACCCGGGCAGACGAGGGCAGGGAGUGAUUGCCGGUGCAAUGAGCCACGGACAAGGAGCGGCUCCUGGCAGCCUUCUUGGCGGAGAGACACAGGAAUGGUCCAAUCUCACACCCGAACAAGAGUUACUCCGAGACUAUAUAGGUAUGAGACUAUACAGUUGAGGAGGGCAUAAAAGAUUUGAUUGGUACUACACAUAAAAACUCCAAGGUUAGGUGUGUUUGCCUUGGAGCAAUAUUAUGAUGGGUGACCUCCUUGGAAGUUUUCCCGGGAAGUGCACGAGUGAGGACAAAGCGCACUAAAAUGACUCAUGCUGUUACCGUGAGGUCAGUGUCAGAUCGGGAUGUUACAGUAUUGUACUUGACAGAUCGUAAGUUCGCCUCGCUAGUGCUAAAUGUAACUCUUUUAUAUGUGCUCUUUGAUUCAGAUAGCUUUCCUUGACUUCAACUGAGGCACCAUCUAGCAUGAUUAGCAGUUAAAGACACUGAAUUUGCACAACAUUCUUCUGGUUGGAGAAAGAUUUCAUAAUGAACGAGUUUGUCAAACAGUUCAUCAAAGAGAAAUGGAGUAUCUCUAGCGCGAAUAGAGGUUGUGAACACCUUGAAGCCUUGACCUAAACUAUUGAGAGCAUCUACAACGUGGCCAAGGGUCGUGAUCAUGAGCUGCAUGGAAACUGAGUGCUAGUUCACCAACAAUUGACUGAGUCGAGCGGAGAUAGUCAUGACCACUCAAUGUACCUUUGGUAACAUGUUUGAGUAUCUCUUUGAGAGACAUUACCAAUGCACGGGAUUUGUUGCCAAAUACUUUUUGUAAUUUUGACCAAGCAUCAAGGGAAGUAGCGAAGGACAUGACAUUUUGCUCCUUAGGAUCAUAUUCAAAAAGGGCUAAGGAAUUAUGGUCAUCUUGGCGACACCAAAGAAAAUAAGCUCGAUUGAGAAUUGCACUGGUGCCUAUUCCAAAUUUUUCAUCAGUGAUUUGCUUCAAGAAAAUGAGUAAUUUGCGUAUGCCAUAUUGAGUAGUUGGUUGAAUUCAGCUUGAUGAGUAGUUUGUAGGCAAAGUUGAAUUCAACAAGAUCUAAGGAAGUAAGUGUGGAUGGCACCAUGAAGGAUCAAUAAAAAUUGUUAGGUUAGAGAGUAGUCGGAUACCACAUAGAAAAUGAUAAAGAUAUAAAAUUCUUUUAUUGAAAUAUGUGCACAUUACAUUAGUAGAAAUAGAGUACAAUGAAUAAUAACAAAUACACAACAAGAAAAUAUUUUGGUACAAAAGAUAAUGGAAGGGAACUUUUGAAUCUGAAAAUUGGUAACAGAUUCAUUACCCAGUUUUAUUGAUGACCUACAACAGGAGGUCCCAUAUAAAAGAGUACUUUAUGCUUCCUUUACGUCUAACACUUCCUGCUUGAAAGUGUGUGCUUGAACAUCAUAUAGUUUUGCUUUGAAAAUGAGUGCUUCCUUGUCCUUCACUAAUAUAUGAUAGGAUUUGUACGAGUUAUGAUAUAUACACAUUUCACCAUUUUUUUUCCGCCUUCAUUUUUAUCUAUUUCUAUUUUCUCUAUCAAUCAAAUCACCUAUCACAUCUUUACUUUAUCUCUCUUUUCUUCCUAUCUUUCUCUUCCUCCACCUCUCAACAUCUAUUUUUGAGAUGUAAAGAUAUAAUUAUUCCAUUUGUACUUCUUGAGACAGCUAUUUGUACUCGCAGCUAAUGCUUUGUUUUGGGGACAAACAGCUGAUGGGUCAAAGCAUUUCUCAAUAAUAUUCCCAAUGGACACAAGAUGAAUCGACAAUCAUUUCCACGGGCCAACACAAUUCAUGAGAGAGAAAUUAGGCCCGCCCUUAUAUAAGUCCAACAAGCCAUUGGCUUAGCUAGUUCAAAGGGGUACUCUCCAAUGAUAAGCCAUUGAGUAACUUUUUUUAUUAUUAUUAUAAAUGGGGAAAGCCCAAAGAAAACAAAAACAAUAGGGAACCACUCGGGGAAAAGCAACCACAAUUACAUCAUCUCUCAGAACAGAACAGGGAAAAAAGAAGGUGGAACAUGAGCAAAAUAAAACUCUUCUCCCUGGGAGGCAUGCCCACGUCGAGCCAAAUGGUCAGCCCAGCGAUUAGCUUCUUUAAAAAUCAACUUAAAAGAUAAGAAGCUAGAUACCGGAUAUCUUGCACAAGGUCUGCGCAAGGAUGCGCAUUCGGACAUUUAACCGUGAUUAGAUCGUGGGUUGUUUUUUAAUCAAUCUCCACAAUUAAAGUUGCAGGGGCAAUGACACCCGCCACUCUAAGACCCUUCAAGACGCCUUAGAGUCCGGCACGAACCGUGGAACAGAGACUAAGAAGGAAGGAGAAACCAGCCACUACUCUUUCAAAGGAGUCUCGAAUUAGACCACCACGGGCUGCUCUAAAGUUAGCUUGGAAGACAGAGACAUAAGAAUUUAGUUUACAUGAACCUGGACGUGGGUGACUCCAACGGAUGAGCUACAUCGAUUAGAGAGAGAGAGAGAGAGAGAGAGAAUUCGCUACAUUGAGUAACUUUGGACGUCAAAAUAAAAGUGAUGUUAAUGUUAAAGAUGAGAGAGCACAAAAAUAAACAAAAAUAUGUGCUAUGUAAUGAAAAGAAGAAAUAAAGCAACUCAUACUCUAUUUUUCAUUAUAACUUAGGUUGCUCAUUCUAAUAUUUUAAGGAUAAUUUUAAUUUUUAGGCUUAAUUGCACGUUCGAUUCCUCAUCUAUUGCAUGUUUAUGAUUUGGCUCUCUCAUACUUAAAAGGAGCAAAUUUGAUCUCAUAACUUUUAAUUUUUGAAAAUUAGGUCCUUCCAUGAGAAGGACAUUCAAAACCUAAUGGAGUUGACUUACAUUAAAUGGCGUAGAUGUCAACUUGGGUACAUGUAGAUGUCAUGUCAAUUUAAAAUAAAAGUCCAAAGUCAUUGACGCUAAGAUUUUCUUUUGUUUUUGGAAAAUGAUUUUUAACCCUCCAGGUAAAAUAAUCGAUCACACAUGGCGCAGUUGUUGUCGCAAUAGGUUAGAGUUCCAUUAACCAGUCUUCCAGGUCUUGUGUAUGUUGAUCACCCUCAUGUUGAAAAAUGAACAUUUAAAGGGCUGAAAGGGUAGCGACAUGAUGUAGAUGUUGAUUUUGGAGGUCGUGAAUUAUAGUUAUAAUGACUUUUACACGGAUGAUGCUU